UACAGAGGGUGCGAGCGUUAAUCGGAAUUACUGGGCGUAAAGUGUGCGCAGGCGGCGUUGCAAGUCGAGUGUGAAAUCCCCGAGCUUAACUUGGGAAUUGCGCUCGAAACUACGAUGCUCGAGUGUGGCAGAGGAAGGUGGAAUUCCACGUGUAGCGGUGAAAUGCGUAGAUAUCAGGAGGAACACCGGUGGCGAAGGCGGCUACCUGGACAGAAACUGACGCUGAGGCGCGAAAGCUAGGGGAGCAAACAGG
rnacentral:rRNA from 1 species